GUCCUUGAUCAGGUCAGCCCUCUUUAAGGAAGGAAGGAUGCCCUUGGAGAAUAAGGACUAACCCACAACUCCCACAGAGGGGUUUCUCUAGAGGAAGAAGUUGUUGCUUUCCUGAGAGAGGAGGACUGAAAUGGAAUGCUUUUUUUUCUUUUUUUUUGUUUUUGCAUCAGCAUGUAAAUCGCAAAUAUGCUAAGCUUUUGGGUUUUACAUCUUCACUCUAGUGCUCUGCUGCUGCAUUUGUUUACAGGCGGAAUAAACGGUGUCUUCUGGCAGCCUUUGCCCUUACUAGGCCCACUCGACCAUGGAACUGGUUCUGAAGAAGGGUCAGUAUAAGGUGCAGGUUCCUCCUUUCCACUGCCCUUCCCAGCAGGGGGCAUCUGGCCCCAGGUCUAGUCAGAUGCUCCUGAGUCAGAGGACAGGGGACACUCUAGGCUGAGGUCAUCCUAGCCUCUCUCUGCUCUGUAUCCCUCCCUUCAGACCCAGGUUUAUUAACAAAGUAACCAUGUAGGUUUGUCCCCAGGUUCUGAAGAAGAAAAAAAAAGGCCUUGUUUUGUUUCUGUAGCCCUUCACUGUCCUCUGGUUUCCCCUCCAACAUGUAGGAAACCCUUCCUGAUUGCUAACUACAUUUCCUGGCAUUAUGAAGUUCGGGGAAGACAGGAGAUACACCAUGACACUCGCUGCUGUUUUAAAAUAAACAAAAGUAGAAAGCAAGAGAAUUCUUGGGGAAGCUCUCUGUAGGAUUUGAGAGCAGGUAGCAGUGACCCUCAAGAGAAAACUGUCAAUUUUCCCUUAGCUUGCUCCCAAGCCUCUCCAACUGUGAUGUUUAGGCCCCUUCAAGAGGGACCUGGAGGUUCAACACUGUUUAGUCCCCUGUUCCCCCCGCUUGUCUCAGUAGACUGUUUUCAGAUGAGUACCUCUCUUGGGCUGCAGAUGUAUCUGCUUUGACACCAUAAAAGGCUUUAUUUACCCAAAUAAAAGGGCAGAAAGCAA
rnacentral:lncRNA from 1 species